rnacentral:rRNA from 1 species
CCUACGGGAGGCAGCAGUGAGGAAUAUUGGUCAAUGGGCGGGAGCCUGAACCAGCCAAGCCGCGUGAGGGAAGAAGGUACAGCGUAUCGUAAACCUCUUUUGUCAGGGAACAAAGGCGGGGACUCGUCCCCGGAUGAGGGUACCUGAAGAAAAAGCAUCGGCUAACUCCGUGCCAGCAGCCGCGGUAAUACGGAGGUGGCAAGCGUUAUCCGGAUUUACUGGGUGUAAAGGGCGUGUAGGCGGGACUGCAAGUCAGAUGUGAAAACCAUGGGCUCAACCCAUGGCCUGCAUUUGAAACUGUAGUUCUUGAGUGUGGGAGAGGCAGGCGGAAUUCGGGGUGUAGCGGUGAAAUGCGUAGAUAUAAGGAGGAACACCAGUGGCGAAGGCGGCCUGCUGGACAAUAACUGACGCUGAGGCGCGAAAGUGUGGGGAGCAAACAGGAUUAGAUACCCGUGUAGUC